rnacentral:rRNA from 1 species
AACGAACGCUGGCGGCAUGCCUAACACAUGCAAGUCGAACGAGACCUUCGGGUCUAGUGGCGCACGGGUGCGUAACGCGUGGGAACCUGCCCUUAGGUUCGGAAUAACUCCCCGAAAGGGGUGCUAAUACCGGAUAAUGUCUUCGGACCAAAGAUUUAUCGCCUUUGGAUGGGCCCGCGUUGGAUUAGCUAGUUGGUAGGGUAAAAGCCUACCAAGGCGACGAUCCAUAGCUGGUCUGAGAGGAUGAUCAGCCACACUGGGACUGAGACACGGCCCAGACUCCUACGGGAGGCAGCAGUGGGGAAUAUUGGACAAUGGGCGAAAGCCUGAUCCAGCAAUGCCGCGUGAGUGAUGAAGGCCUUAGGGUUGUAAAGCUCUUUUACCCGGGAUGAUAAUGACAGUACCGGGAGAAUAAACUCCGGCUAACUCCGUG